UGAGAGCCGCCCCCUGCCCUGGGUAAUGUGGUGUCAUGGACCUGUGCUGAGCACUGGAAUUAUUUUAUCCCCAGGAGGAAAGGAAUGUCGUGCGGACGAGCAUGGGGCUCUGCAGUCAGACACCCCGAAUUCUGGUCCAGCCACCCCUCUUACAGGCCAUGUGACAUUGGCAACAAGUGGUGCCCAACCUGGGGCUGGAAUCUCAAAGCGGCUGGUCCGCUCCGUUCGGGGGAAGGCUCGUUUAAUCGACUGAGGUGUAUGAUAUUGGCGCAGGAACUCAGGUGGAGCAGAGGCCUCACUACUUCUCUAGGUUUUGCUUGUUUCUCUCCAGGUGAAGAUCAGACUCCUAUUUAGGUGCCCGCACGACACCUGAAACUGUACCAUGAGC